CUCAAUGAAUUGACGGGCCCCGCACAAGCAGCGGAGCGUGUGGUUUAAUUCGAUGCUACACGAAGAACCUUACCAGGGUUUGACAUACAAGUAGUAGGGAAAGGAAACUGGACCGACCCUUCGGGGAGCUUGUACAGGUGCUGCAUGGCUGUCGUCAGCUCGUGUCGUGAGAUGUUCGGUUAAGUCCGCUAACGAGCGCAACCCUCGCUGUGUGUUACAAGUGUCACACGGAACUGCCGGUCAUAAACCGGAGGAAGGUGGGAUGACGUCAAGUCAGCAUGGCCUUUAUAUCCUGGGCUACACACACGCUACAAUGGGAAGGGACAAUGGGUUGCGAAGCCGCGAGGCGGAGCCAAUCCAGCAAAACUUCCCUCAGUUCAGAUUGCAGGCUGCAACCCGCCUGCAUGAAGUUGGAGUUGCUAGUAAACGCAGGUCAGCCAUACUGCGUUGAAUACGUUCCGGGGCUU
rnacentral:rRNA from 1 species